CGCGCAGGUGGUUCCUUAAGUCUGAUGUGAAAGCCCACGGCUCAACCGUGGAGGGUCAUUGGAAACUGGGGGACUUGAGUGCAGAAGAGGAAAGUGGAAUUCCAAGUGUAGCGGUGAAAUGCGUAGAGAUUUGGAGGACCACUAGUGGCGAAGGCGACUUUCUGGUCUGUAACUGACACUGAGGCGCGAAAGCGUGGGGAGCAAACA
rnacentral:rRNA from 1 species